CAGGCCUAACACAUGCAAGUCGAGCGGAUGACGGGAGCUUGCUCCUUGAUUCAGCGGCGGACGGGUGAGUAACGCGUGGGAAUCUACCCAUCUCUACGGAAUAACGCAUGGAAACGUGUGCUAAUACCGUAUACGUCCUUCGGGAGAAAGAUUUAUCGGGGCUUGAUGAGCCCGCGUUGGAUUAGCUAGUUGGUGGGGUAAAGGCCUACCAAGGCGACGAUCCAUAGCUGGUCUGAGAGGAUGAUCAGCCACACUGGGACUGAGACACGGCCCAGACUCCUACGGGAGGCAGCAGUGGGGAAUAUUGGACAAUGGGGGCAACCCUGAUCCAGCCAUGCCGCGUGAGUGAAGAAGGCCUUCGGGUUGUAAAGCUCUUUCGACGGGGACGAUGAUGACGGUACCCGUAUAAGAAGCCCCGGCAAACUUCGUGCCAGCCGCCGCAGUAA
rnacentral:rRNA from 1 species